rnacentral:tRNA from 1 species
AGAAGGUGACAGAGGAUAUGUAUUUGGCUUGAAACCAGAAAACGGGGGUUUAAUUCCCUCCCUUCUU